CGCUGGCGGCGUGCUUAACACAUGCAAGUCGAACGAGAAUCUACGGAUCGAGGAUUCGUCCAAGAGAAGUAGAGGACAGUGGCGGACGGGUGAGUAACGCGUGAGGAACCUGCCUUUCAGAGGGGGGACAACAGUUGGAAACGACUGCUAAUACCGCAUAACCCGCUAGGGCCGCAUGGCCCGGACGGAAAAGGAGCAAUCCGGUAUGAGAUGGACCCGCGUCUGAUUAGCUGGUUGGUGGGGUAACGGCCUACCAAGGCAACGAUCAGUAGCCGAACUGAGAGGUUGACCGGCCACAUUGGGACUGAGACACGGCCCAAACUCCUACGGGAGGCAGCAGUGGGGAAUAUUGCACAAUGGGGGAAACCCUGAUGCAGCGACGCCGCGUGAGUGAAGAAGUAUUUCGGUAUGUAAAGCUCUAUCAGCAGGGAAGAAAAUGACGGUACCUGACUAAGAAGCCCCGGCUAACUACGUG
rnacentral:rRNA from 1 species